GCUAUUGAAGUCGUCGAACGCACCUGACUGUUAUGUGAACGAUGCUCAAGUGGCGAAUGAGUCACUUACUUGAUUCCUUUUAUGGAAAACGUGGAUUCGCGAUUCAGUUUUAAUUAUUCAGACAGUAUACUCCCACACUGAAUCCUGUGGAGAGAUAAAAUUAUAACGCGAUACAUAUAAAGUUUAAACACAGGAAACAAAUCGCAAAGACUAUUAAUCAUGUUUACCCACAUCAAUGUAAAACUAACCAGGAUUGCGUUUAUUGAACAGAUUCGGUGUCUGAUCGGAAUCAAACACUCGAGUGUCUACAUUCAACCAAAGCUACACCUAACAGUUUGUCUGUCAGGUUGGUGGAGAAGAAAGCAAGGACCGGCCUCUGAGAGAAAGAGAGAGACGAAGAGAUCGAGAGAGAGACCGCACCAUGUUUGCUGGGUUAAAUCUCCUAAUGACAAAAAUAAAUCAAAAUCAUCAACUGCCGAAGAUGGACGCCGCGCAUCUGGCUUCUCCCCUCGGAAGACUCGGAACUGCUGUCGAGGAAAAUUGUGCACAAUCAGUGAUUGAUGACCUGAAGCUAGCAAAUACCCCUGACAACUGCACCACGCAGACUAAAGCUCGCAGAAUUUCUCUCUAACGUGUUAUCGAGCGCUGCUAUUCUAUACCCGAUUCUAUACAGUGAAAAUAGUACAAUUGUACAAUAGUACAAUUUGCUUAAAAAUCGGCACGUCGUAUCAGCGAAUUUGUUAUAUUUCGUUUGAUCUACUGACCCAUAACAAGGUACUCAGACUUUACCCUGAAUGUUUGGUAUAGAUAGAGGCCUGUGCGUGCCAAAAGAAAGGCAAAAUGCGAGUUUCUGAAUCAGAAAGUUAAAUAGUGUAAAAAAUUGGAUUUUCACAUUUGAUUUGGAUCUCAGUCUUGAACCUAUUUAUUCUAUUUUGAGAGAAAAAGAAAAAGCUAAAUAUAUUAAUUUUAGUAUUACUUUAUCUAGUGUUCCUUAAUGCACUUACAGUCUAAUAUUAAAACGAGAUUUUUUGAAUAAUAUUUUAAUUUAAUAUAAAAACUUUUUCUACCUUCGUUAAUGUCUUUAAAAUUUACUUUACUCUUUACAAAUUAAUGUGUGUAAGGACUCGUGUCUCUCUUUUUUCGCUUUAAACUAAUUACUUACAUUUUUUAAAACUUACUUUAAAUGUAGUUAUUUUCUUCAAGAGGCCGUCAAAAACCUUUUUAUACCCCUAUUUUUUAUAUUAUAUAUCUGCCGUCCACCCGAAUAAUACAAACGUUUAAAUAAUAAUAAUAAGCUCGGGGUCACCAAAUUGCCAUCUUUUAGACAGAAAAAGACCCCUUUAGCCUGUUUUUUCUAAUGCAGGUGAUGUUCAGGUGUAAGCUGGAUGUGCAAGAGUAAAAUAAUUUAGAAUGAUGGAAGAUGUUGCUGGAAUUGUUAAGUAGUAGUCAAAAAACUCGUGGUUAUUGUAUUUAGAGGCAAAAUAGUUUGUAUUAAAAGUG